rnacentral:rRNA from 1 species
GAUGAACGCUAGCUACAGGCUUAACACAUGCAAGUCGAGGGGCAGCAGGGAUUUAGCUUGCUAAAUCCGCUGGCGACCGGCGCACGGGUGCGUAACGCGUAUCCAACUUCCCCGUUACUCAGGGAUAGCCUUCCCGGAAAGGGAGAUUAAUACCUGAUGGUGUUUGAAGGUUCGCAUGUUCUUCAAACUAAAGAUUUAUCGGUAACGGAUAGGGAUGCGUGACAUUAGAUAGUAGGCGGGGUAACGGCCCACCUAGUCUACGAUGUCUAGGGGUUCUGAGAGGAAGGUCCCCCACACUGGAACUGAGACACGGUCCAGACUCCUACGGGAGGCAGCAGUGAGGGAAUAUUGGUCAAUGGGUCGGAAGACUGAACCAGCCAAGUAGCGUGAAGGAUGAAGGUUCUAUGGAUUGUAAACUUCUUUUAUACGGGAAUAAAACA